AUUCCCGAUGUUGAGCCGACGACCAGAGAAAUCAUAUAUUGAAUGACUUUGAAAAUUCAUAUUGGAUUCCUUUGUAAGAUAAGACUAUUUAAUGAUUAAUUUGUCCAGGUAAGCUAUCAUUCAUUAUCAUUUUCUGAACCUUCUUAAACUACAAAUUAGGUAAUUUCAGCUGUCAAUCAAAUUCAUACUCUUAAAACUGAUGAUUGUCGUCAUCAGCCCCGUUGCUUAUAGUUGUUGACAGAAGACAGAACUUCCUUCUCCUGGAAUCAACAUGAGAGUGCUCAGUUUGAUUAUGUUGAGCGUAUUGUUCAUCUGUCUGUGUUUGACGACCGUUCACUCGAAUUAUCUGUAUGGACGAGGACAAACACAAGUACCAGCUUCAACAAAUCGAGGAUUUGGCUUCGGCGAUUCACUCUGUGCCUAUUGCCGAAUGGUCACUCCUUGUUGCUGCCAAUACUAUUGUACUGGGCGUAGAUCAUCUCAUGGCCUUUUCCAACCUCAACCUAUUUUUACCUCGGGAUUAUACCCACAUUCACGUUUGGCUUAUCCAAAGUUUUACAAACAUCGUUCAGUCUAUUAACCUUGUAUCAAUAGUUAUUGUAUUGUAUCUUGGUAUGCAAAUUACAGAAAUUAAGAGACUAUUUCAUUUC